AGGAUGAACGCUAGCGACAGGCCUAACACAUGCAAGUCGAGGGGCAGCACAAGGAGCAAUCUGAGGUGGCGACCGGCGCACGGGUGAGUAACACGUAUGCAACCUGCCUGUAAGCGGGGAAUAACCCGUUGAAAGACGGACUAAUACCGCAUAAUACUAAAUUACUGCAUGGUAAUUUAUUUAAACAUUUAUGGCUUACAGAUGGGCAUGCGCAUGAUUAGCUAGUUGGAGAGGUAACGGCUCCCCAAGGCAACGAUCAUUAGGGGUUCUGAGAGGAAGGUCCCCCACACUGGUACUGAGACACGGACCAGACUCCUACGGGAGGCAGCAGUGAGGAAUAUUGGUCAAUGGACGAGAGUCUGAACCAGCCAAGUCGCGUGCAGGAAGAAUGUUCCCUAUGGAUUGUAAACUGCUUUUGCAGGGGAAUAAAGUGCAUCACGUGUGAUGUUUUGUAUGUACUCUGCGAAUAAGGAUCGGCUAACUCCGUGCCAGCCGCGGC
rnacentral:rRNA from 1 species